UCAAUAUGCAGAUGCCUUGGUGCCCGCGACUCGCGUCAAGGGCCAAGAGGGAAGCCGGUGCAAUUCCGGCACUGCCCCCGCAACUGUAAGCGGCGAGCGACGCUGGCACGCCACUGGGAUGCGUCCCGGGAAGGCCGGCCGAGCAACGACCCGCAAGCCAGGAAACCUGCCAGAGCGCAAAAGAUGAC
rnacentral:ncRNA from 1 species